rnacentral:sRNA from 1 species
GCUGGCCCCCACCCUCUGCAUUUGCCAUCCAGCAGGUCUGGGUGGGCACCAGGAUGCGGAUUCCUAACAGGAGAGGCUGAUGCUGCCAGUCUGGGUCCACAUUUUGAGAAGCAUUCCUCCAAGGGUCCCACCCACGCUCACACCCCAUGUCUGACAAUGCCUGCCAGGAUGGGCACUGAUGAAUAUGGUUGAACGGAACUCCAAGGACCACCCAGGUUGAUAGUAGUGAGUUUGUGUACAGAAGACUGCAAUGAAUUGAAGUCAUGAGACAUACAGCCAGGAUCCUGAAAGCCACCGACAUAUGUCACCUGCCUGGAAGGCUUGCUUCGAUGGUCAUCUUGUUCUGCCUGCUAAGACCAGGAGUCACAGCUGUUGACACCAUUGUGAAUAAAAACAUUUUCUGCCACAGGU